AUGCAAAUAAUUUAUUCUUCCCCACAGAAGCUUUGUGUUUGAUCACAAUGACAACUUGCUGCUUCUGCUCUGCAUCACAUACAUUAUGGAGCUUCACACCCCAGAGCAAGAGCUAAAUCACAUCGAGGAAACCUAUUGAGCUGACCAUCCAUUCCUGCAGUCCUUGCACACAAUUGCAUCUCAUGAACUCACAAAGAUUUAGUUAUGUCAACAAGGAGUCACCUGUCCUGCAAAUACACAUGCACUAAUAAUUUGUCUAUGAAAUCCCUGGGAAACCACAAACAGGUUUUAGAAUCUGCUGAUCAGGAUUAGGAGGAGCUGGCAAGCUUCAGUCUGUACACAUGCCAGCAGCGGAUGUCGGCACAUAUACAACACUUUUCAGAACAACAUACUGUUGAAACAUGCAGUUCAACUCCAAGGCACUUUGGAAGCACUCAGAAGUCGGUAGGAGCAGCCCUGCUGUGCUUUGCUCAAGCUCCUCCACAUCCAUUUGAGCUGGGGGAAGUGACAAACCUGCUGGCAAGAGGGAAAUAUCAAGGACGGGGGGGUGUCAUAAGUGAUACAGGAAUAUAAUCCUCUCUUCCGCUUUCACAUGUCCUCACUUUCCUUUCAUUUUUCAGUCUGAAGUACAGAAAGGCAGGAUGAUGACAAGCUCACCCUGGUUCACAGUCAGUGUGUCUUAAGAAAGUCACCAGUAAAGACCUGAAAGAAAUAAUGCCUGAAAAAUAAAAAUACAUUCCAAGUCAAAAAUGAAGCGUUCUGC